ACCUGGGUGGCUCAGUCGGUUAAGCGUCUGACUUCAGCUCAGGUCAUGAUCUCACAGUUUGUGGGUUCGAGCCCCGCAUCGGGCU
rnacentral:tRNA from 1 species